GCCUGGCUGGCUCAGUCAGUAGAGCAUGAGACUCUUAAUCUCAGGGACAUGGGUUCAUGCCCACAUUAGGUG
rnacentral:tRNA from 1 species